GAUGAACGCUGGCGGCGUGCCUAAUACAUGCAAGUCGAGCGAACAGACGAGGAGCUUGCUCCUCUGACGUUAGCGGCGGACGGGUGAGUAACACGUGGAUAACCUACCUAUAAGACUGGGAUAACUUCGGGAAACCGGAGCUAAUACCGGAUAAUAUAUUGAACCGCAUGGUUCAAUAGUGAAAGACGGUUUUGCUGUCACUUAUAGAUGGAUCCGCGCCGCAUUAGCUAGUUGGUAAGGUAACGGCUUACCAAGGCAACGAUGCGUAGCCGACCUGAGAGGGUGAUCGGCCACCCUGGAACUGAGCCACGGUCCAGACUCCUACGGGAGGCAGCGGUAGGGAAUCUUCCGCAAUGGGCGAAGGCCUGACGGAGCACCGCCGCGUGGGUGAUGAAGGUCUUCGGAUCGUAAAACUCUGUUAUUAGGGAAGAACAAAUGUGUAAGUAACUAUGCACGUCUUGACGGUACCUAAUCAGAAAGCCACGGCUAACUACGUG
rnacentral:rRNA from 1 species